GACGAACGCUGGCGGCGUGCUUAACACAUGCAAGUCGAACGGAAAGGCCCUGCUUGCAGGGUGCUCGAGUGGCGAACGGGUGAGUAACACGUGGGUGAUCUGCCCCUUACUUUGGGAUAAGCCUGGGAAACUGGGUCUAAUACUGGAUAGGACCAUGCUGUAGGUGGUGUGGUGGAAAGAUUAGUUUCGGUAAGGGAUGAGCUCGCGGCCUAUCAGCUUGUUGGUGGGGUAAUGGCCUACCAAGGCGUCGACGGGUAGCCGGCCUGAGAGGGUGGACGGCCACAUUGGGACUGAGAUACGGCCCAGACUCCUACGGGAGGCAGCAGAGGGGAAUAUUGCACAAUGGGCGCAAGCCGGAUGCAGCGACGCCGCGUGGGGGAUGACGGCCUUCGGGUGGUAAACUCCUUUCAGCCAUGACGAAGCCCUUGUGGUGACGGUAGUGGUAGAAGAAGCACCGGCUAACUACGUG
rnacentral:rRNA from 1 species